rnacentral:lncRNA from 1 species
GCAGUCUAGGAAAGAGACGACUUGGGACGCAACGACACCUGCGCGUGUGCGUAUUGCCUCAGUGGAGGCGCUCCGCUGGUCCUCCUAGAGUUUGGUGCCCUGCCGCCGCUGCCCCGCCACGACUGCGGCUGCGGCUGCUCCGGGCAGUGCUGCGGCCGCCGCGGGCCCAGCUGUAUGGUUAGGCCACCAUCGUUCGUCUUGGGAGGACUCCAGUGCUUGUUGCCCUAGCAUUAAUUGAAAGUGGAAUGAAAAACGAAGAUGCAGUACGGUUUAUUAGAGAUAAACGGCACGGCGCUUUUAACAGCAAGCAACUUUUGUAUUUGGAGAAAUAUCAUUCUCAAAUGCGGCUUCGCUUUGUGUCCGGAAUUGGUGGGUUCUUGGUCUCACUGACUUCAAGAAUGAAGCUGCGGACCCUCGCGCUUCUCUUAUUCCUGACUCUGGCUGCCAUCGUUGGCUGAUGAAAGAGUUCCUUUUAUUUGGUGAGUUCAUCCAUCAAGAUUGUCUUCGAAGCUUUGUCUUUGAAGUUUUCACCUAUUCCCAACCACUCCCCCUGGAAGCUUGU